rnacentral:rRNA from 1 species
UACAGAGGGUGCUAGCGUUGUUCGGAAUCAUUGGGCGUAAAGGGCGUGUAGGCGGUUUGCUGAGUCAUGUGUGAAAUCCCUCGGCUUAACCGGGGAACGACGCAUGAAACUGGCAGCUAGAGUACCAAAGAGGGGGGUGGAAUUCCCGGGUGUAGCGGUGAAAUGCGUAGAUAUCGGGAGGAACACCUGUGGCGAAGGCGGCCCCCUGGUUGGAU